CCGUACCUGCUGUGGUAUGAGUGGUUGUGUAUUCCAACCCUGACUGGUUUCGAUGGAGCGCGGCGGCGUGGCGAAGUGACCUGUAACGCCAUUGCCAUAUGUUUGGCUCUAGAUUCCACAUGUUUCGACUGAGCUGCACCAAACUUGGCAAGAGUGAUCCUGAUUGGAUGCCUGGUGAUCCUAUAUCGUCAUAGUCUGACGUCUAAGCCCCGCCCCAUCAGAACAGGAAGUGCCUUUUUUUUCUUGGAAAGCGUUAUCUCUGGCUCUCUUGACCUAAUCAAGAUGAUUUUGUGUUGGAUGACAGAUAACAAUUGGGCUCACUUGCUUUAAAGUGCUAAGAGUUUUCAAUGGAGGGCGUGGCCAUGGCGACGCAGCGAAGUGACAGGUCACGCCGCUGCCAUAUGUUUGGCUCUAAAUUCCACAGUUUCAAGCUGAGUUGCACCAAACUUACUGGGAUGGAUCCUUAUCCAGCCCCAGACAGGAAUCCAUAAGAAUCCUUGGUGGGCGUGGCCUAAUUUAUCUACAGCGCCCCCUAGAAGUUUUUAAAAAAUCAGCCCCAAGUCAUGCUUCAACCCAGACUCAUGAAACUUGGUACACAUGUGUAUCUGGUCAGGACCUACAAAAAAAGUCGCCAUGGUCCAAACUCAACAGGAAGACGGCCAUUUUGGAUCAAAGUUGCCAUUUCCUCUUUUUUAUAGACGUCGCAUCUGAUCGAACUCGUUAUCAGCUUUUGAGAUACGGACUUCAGAAUCACUCAGCAUAACCUUGAGGCACUGAAGGUCAAACAGUUAUCACAGGAUUUUUCAUGUGGGCGUGGCUUAGUGUCAAAGUCUGACUAUUUGCCAUAAAACAUCAAGGUGCAAUAACUUCCACAUACAAAGUCAGAGCUGCAUCAGACUUUCUAUGUCUCAUUAUAGACCAGCCCUCAUCACAUUCACAUGGUUACCUGAUGACAUAACCUAAGCCCCUCCCACUUCCAACAGGAAGUCACUAUCUGGUCUAUCAGACCCUACAGGAAGUUCUUGCUAAUCUUUCACUACUAAACAGGAAGUGACAAUAACUCAUCUCCCGGAUGUCAGAUAUCAGCCAUCACAUUUUUACACAUGUGCUCCUUUACCCAAUAACAACACUUCUGAUAAGCAACUAUCGACGCACAGUCGACAAUAAACGUUUUGAUUCAUAUUCAAUUGCCCUGAUUAAAUGAUUUUUUCCUGUGCCAGCACCACCUGUAAUAAAAAUGUGCAGUUGUUAAGGAUUUAUUCCAUUAAGCUUGGCUAAACAAUACUGCCUGAUUUAAUUAAAAACAAAACAGAGAACUGUUUUUCAUUCAAAGAUCUAAUCAAUGCAAGGCUUUCAAUUCUUCUAAUUUAUUUUUCUCAAAUAAUGAAACGUCUUUACACUGCAGACUUAAAUCAGGUAUUUGUUCCUGAUCACUGUUUUCUAUUUGUCUUCCUUUUUGUAAUACCACACACUCCAAGCGUUCCAGUUCAACCUCAGAACACCAUUCAGCCCAUCGUCGUCCAGCAUUACAUCACCAGUAACAUUGUCCACAGAUUCCAACUCAAACUCACUCCUACUUAAAUCUACAACAGACUUUACUGAAGGUUUUGU